AAACCUUUAUAAAUUGGCGGCCAUAAUUUUAUAGAGGAAUUCGCUGUAUAAUCGUAAAUACCCGAUAAAUUUAACCACUAUCAAAAGUUUGUAUACCGCCGUUUAACAGAAUACAAUUAAUACCCCUACAUAGUAAAAACUAAAAAAUCAGGUCAAGGUGUAGCUAACAUAGUGGAAACAGUAAAUUACACUAUAACAGAUAUUAGAAUUAUAAUUACAAAUUUAUAUGAAAAAGAAUCUAUAAUCACAAAUAACAUAAUAUACUAUUUAGAACUUAAAACACAUGGCGU
rnacentral:rRNA from 1 species